rnacentral:rRNA from 1 species
CCUACGGGCGGCUGCAGUGGGGAAUAUUGGACAAUGGGCGAAAGCCUGAUCCAGCUAUGCCGCGUGUGUGAAGAAGGCCUUCGGGUUGUAAAGCACUUUCAGUGGGGAAGAAAGCCUUGGGGCUAAUACCCUCGAGGAAGGACAUCACCCACAGAAGAAGCACCGGCUAACUCCGUGCCAGCAGCCGCGGUAAUACGGAGGGUGCGAGCGUUAAUCGGAAUUACUGGGCGUAAAGCGCGCGUAGGCGGUCUGAUAAGCCGGUUGUGAAAGCCCCGGGCUCAACCUGGGAACGGCAUCCGGAACUGUCAGGCUAGAGUGCAGGAGAGGAAGGUAGAAUUCCCGGUGUAGCGGUGAAAUGCGUAGAGAUCGGGAGGAAUACCAGUGGCGAAGGCGGCCUUCUGGACUGACACUGACGCUGAGGUGCGAAAGCGUGGGUAGCAAACAGGAUUAGAUACCCUAGUAGUC